GUACCCGGAAGCUCGGAAGUGUAUGGCACCGUAUUGACGUUGGGACACGCUCUUUCGUGAGCGCAACGGAGAAUACCGAAGUGGCUUUCAAGCUGAUGUGAUUGACACCUGCGAGUAUUCGGAAGCCCAUUAACCAAACCAGGCUGCUUCUACUGCCACUGACUGAGCUCUAUGGGGGUCUUUGUCAUUAGAGAAAGAGAUGGCUGUUUGAUUAAUUGAAAUCAGUUUGAGCAUGUCGAUCCUCCUGCGCCAUUAAUGCCAUGUCUUAAUGUAAGUCUCUGUGUCAACAAUGCAAGUGAUUUAUUAUGGGACUCCAUUGCGCACGACUCCACUUGAUGCGCUGCAGCGCCUCCACUUAAAUGUAGGAGGACAUCAAUUAUUUAGACCAUAAAGGUUUUCAUUGGACUAAUGACAGCUCAUAUAGGACCAUGGCAAGGGCAUUUUAAAUCACUCAGAUAAUCCUGUCAUAAUCCUAUAGCCUAUAGAAAUAACGCAUAUCAAACUUAAUGUGUGAGCUCCUACUGAAAUGGAACUGAGGUAAUGGUCAUACUUGGGUGUACAAUUCUAAUUUUUCUAAGUGGCUGUGUAGGAGUGUAGUGUGUGUGUGUGUGUGUGUGUGUGUGUGUGUGCAUGAGAGAGAAAUAUAGACAGUGUAAGUAACGCCCAGGCCACCUAGAAUAACACUGGCACAAGUUUUUCUGGGACUCCAUUCCUGCACUCCCCUCAUCACUGCCACACUCACUGCUCAUUUUCUGUUUUGGCAGCACAACAAAUCAAAUGGUUGCAGAGCAGGAGCAGCCACCUUUCACUUUUCAGUGAUUGACAAAGAGGCUGAGCAUGCUAGCCUCUUGUAUUAUUCAGUGAUUUGAUCAUUUGUCUGUGCUACAUGUGUUGUUUUUCAGGCCGGCUGAGCUCUGGUUCCCACAUGGGAGCAAAGCCAUAAGGACACCAUGCUCCGCAACGCACACAGACACACACACCCACACACACAUACACCCUGCUUACUUUCUGAUGUUCUACUUCAUGAGAGCAACAAUGUGACUAAAUUAUGUAAACGGUAAAAUUAAUAUUUCAUAGAUUAUGAGCAGAGGAAACAUAAAUGUUCUGUCACUUUUAGCUACAAAUAAAGCAUUUCUUCAGUCUCAAACACAUUCACUGCCAGUAACAAAUGAACUUAAUGAAUUAGUAAUGGUUACAAAUAAUCCGUCAAAAUUAAAUGUACUUAUGUUGACAUAUUUUGUCUGUGAGCAUAGAGCUUUAUGUUCCAUUUAAACAAAUCUUGUGCCUGACCAUAUGUAUGAAUCUGAGACAUCACUCAUAAGACUAAUCAGCACUAAUUAUUUACCAAAAGAGGCGUCCCUGUAAAAGCACUCACGCAGACCUUCAUCAAAAUCCAGCAAUACAUUGUCUUUAGUGACUCAGAGUCACUGUUUGACUCUAAAAUUAUGCACUUAUUCUCUGUUUUUAAAUUGGAGAAAAAGUCAUCUUGUGUCUCUCGCUCCCCCAUGUUGAGGCUGAAAGCUGCACAUGGACAACAUCUGUUGGGUCUUGCCCGUCUUGACACCAUUUUGAGAGUGACAGCUGAGUGGGAGCGUGCUCAGAUGAUGACAGAGGAGGCAUCCAAAAAUAGCCGUGGUCAAUCACAGCUUGCCCAGCUCUGGAAAUAGCCACAAAUGCAUGUGGGAGUUGAGGUCAUUUUUUUUUUGUUGCAAAUUUCCCUCUUAGUUUAAACUCCAAUAUUUAGACUGGAGUAAAACCAAACUACCCUUUGAGUGCCCAAGGGCAUAUGAAAUCUCAGAAAAGCAAGUUUUUCUUUCUACUAUUAUACAUCAUACAAGUGCACAUAUUAAACAUGGAUACAAAUCUCAGACUGAUGGAUUGUACUUAGUGAAAAUGGGGCAGGGAAGCCAGAACCUGCUCAGUGCUUAAGGGCAGCCUCACCCAGGCAGAUUGUUAGAAUCUCAACAGAGGGGUUUAACCUAAAUCUCCGUGGCAACACAGCUCUGAUCGUGAACCCAUGCUUACCCCAAGUGGGAUGACAUUUGAAUACAGUGCUGUCCUCCUUUGUGCCAUAAUUACCCCCUUGAGUGUGUGUUUUUGGUUGCUGUAUUGCAUCAAUUCAAGAGCACCCUUAUUUGUGUUCCCACUCCACUGCCCAGUGUUCCUUCUGCAGAAUUUGUUUUCUCUGAGUCACUGGUGUCGCCUGUACCCUAGACUGAGAUUAAAAUAGAUUAAUCGGGGAUUAGGUCAUAAAAUAAGAGGAGGGAGGGAUGCAUUGAAUGAGUGCAUAAGGAACCCACUGUGUCACUUUCUUCAUGUCAACAUAAACUGCAGAUGCGUCCAUUGUGCAAAGCUGCUUAGAACAAACCGCACAAAUUCCCAGAAUUUCAGUUGUUUUCCUAAAGAAAAUGUAGUGGGUGUUCAGUUGUGAGCGUGUGUGUGUGUGUGUCCAUGUACACCUGUGCUUGUGGUAAGUGUGUGCAGCUGUGUGUGCCAGGCCCUGCUAUGGUGAGGUGUGUUAGCAAUGACGGAUGUGGAGGCGACCUACGAGGACUUCAUCGCCUCACAACGGUCCGGCCGCAGGAACGCCAUCCAUGAAAUCCCAGCAGCCGCUGGAGUGCAGGGACCCACUGACCUGUCACAGAGUCUGGCACAGCUCAACAUCAACAAGUCAGGUGAUGAGGGAGAAGACACUAAGAAAAGCCAGGACUCCUCAGCUAAAGAAAAGGAGACUCAAGCUGAGGGCAGCUAAGCUGACAUUUGUGGGCCGCUUCUUCUUGUUUACCUGAUCCCUGAAUGCUAGGCCUCUAACCGGCCAGUUGCAUCUAUUGACUAUGAACAGACACAGCAAAAUCCUCUACUGCCACCAUCCCGCCAUCAUGAAGUCAUCACAAUGGCAACCACAGCGCAGUUUCUCUUCUCUGCACUUGGGGGUGUUCCAGUCUCCUUAAAAACCCUCCUUUCCUUGCUGCCUUUCCUUCCUGACUGCUGAUAUGAGAUUGGACCUGUGGACACAGCAUGAUGUCAGCAACCAAAACCAGCCCUAUUUGACUGGCACUGGUCCUGAGAGCAAAAGAGAGAGGGAAAAAAGAGGCCAUUUGGGUUUUUUUUUUUUUUUUAGGGGCAAGCUUAAGUGUUUCCACUGAAUUAAAAUGUCGCCAUUCAAAUAUUCAUUGUGAGACUGGCUUUAAUUCUUGCAAUAGUUUUGGAAUUACCCUCACCAUACAUCUUAUGUAAAACUAAAUCUUGCUUGGUUACUACUAAGUAUAGUUAAUCACAUUUAGUCAUCCUGCUCAUUGUCUGUGGCUAUUAUAUGGAGGAAGUCUUCAGUACAAGGAGUAAAGGUUUCAUACAACAUACAAAAAGUGUCCAUAUUUUAAUGUCCUGGUUCUCCUAGAUCAGUACACUGCCGUUCAGCAGUAUAUCCAAAUUUGUGUCUGUUAGGAAGUGCUUAAAAUGUGAUUUGGUAUACGGUGGAUAUUGUGACAGAGAAUUAAUUUGCUGCUGAAGAUUAGAAAAGGUACAAUAUUGAUUGCACUCAUUUAUAAUGUAUUAUAUUAUUGUUAAUUAGAAGGUUUCUAUGUGUGUGUUUUUUCUGUGUUAUGAGGAGUCUGUUAGAGUGAUUCUUGUUGUGAUUACACAGACAUUGCAUUUUCCAUUCCUCCUGUCAUUUAACCUUUCAUUUUGACCUUCGGAAACCUCUCGAUACUAUAAUGGUAGCUACGAUUCACUGCCUUUUUCUGUUGUACCAUUCAAAUAUGUGGAUGUGCACUCUGAAACUGUCUAUCUGGAAUUCAUAUAACACUGAAAUAGUGACUUGUUGAUGAAUGACUUGUUAAAGGGGUAAGGGGCAUUUUUUGUAUUUAUAGAUACUUAUACAUUGAGUCAGGUAUAGUGUGAUUUAAUGACCAGUACUGUUGCACUGUAGGUGACCUAGAGCACCCACGAUCAUGUUGUAUUUUCCAUAUUUUUAUUUUCUGCAUCUCAUUCACUGUAUUGUCAACUUUACUGUAUAAUUCACCCAUAUUAUAUUUUGUCAACUUUAUUAGUUUUGA